rnacentral:rRNA from 1 species
GUGGGGAAUAUUGGGCAAUGGGGGAAACCCUGACCCAGCAACGCCGCGUGAAGGAAGAAGGCUUUCGGGUUGUAAACUUCUUUUAUGAGGGACGAAGAAGUGACGGUACCUCAUGAAUAAGCCACGGCUAACUACGUGCCAGCAGCCGCGGUAAUACGUAGGUGGCAAGCGUUGUCCGGAUUUACUGGGUGUAAAGGGCGCGUAGGCGGGAUAGCAAGUCAGGUGUGAAAUCCGGGGGCUUAACCCUCGAACUGCACUUGAAACUGUUAUUCUUGAGUGAUGGAGAGGCAAGCGGAAUUCCUAGUGUAGCGGUGAAAUGCGUAGAUAUUAGGAGGAACACCAGUGGCGAAGGCGGCUUGCUGGACAUUAACUGACGCUGAGGCGCGAAAGCGUGGGGAGCAAACAGGAUUAGAAACCCUUGUAGUCC